GAUGAACGCUGGCGGCGUGCCUAAUACAUGCAAGUCGAGCGAACGGACGAGAAGCUUGCUUCUCUGAUGUUAGCGGCGGACGGGUGAGUAACACGUGGAUAACCUACCUAUAAGACUGGGAUAACUUCGGGAAACCGGAGCUAAUAACGGAUAAUAUUUUGAACCGCAUGGAUCAAAAGUGAAAGACGGUCUUGCUGUCACUUAUAGAUGGAUCCGCGCUGCAUUAGCUAGUUGGUAAGGUAACGGCUUACCAAGGCAACGAUGCAUAGCCGACCUGAGAGGGUGAUCAGCCACACUGGAACUGAGACACGGUCCAGACUCCUACGGGAGGCAGCAGUAGGGAAUCUUCCGCAAUGGGCGAAAGCCUGACGGAGCAACGCCGCGUGAGUGAUGAAGGUCUUCGGAUCGUAAAACUCUGUUAUUAGGGAAGAACAUAUGUGUAAGUAACUGUGCACAUCUUGACGGUACCUAAUCAGAAAGCCACGGCUAACUACGUG
rnacentral:rRNA from 1 species